rnacentral:rRNA from 1 species
CAGUCGCCGCGGUAAUACGAAGGGGGCUAGCGUUGCUCGGAAUGACUGGGCGUAAAGGGCGCGUAGGCGGCGAUCAAAGUCAGGCGUGAAAUUCCUGGGCUCAACCCGGGGGCUGCGCUUGAUACUUGGUUGCUUGAGUGGGGAAGAGGGUCGUGGAAUUCCCAGUGUAGAGGUGAAAUUCGUAGAUAUUGGGAAGAACACCGGUGGCGAAGGCGGCGACCUGGUCCUUGACUGACGCUGAGGCGCGAAAGCGUGGGGAGCAAACAGGAUUAGAUACCCGCGUAGUCCCUGUCUCUUAUAC